ACAUCCCCAAUUACCAUCCCUCCCACCCCUAGUCUGUCUGUGCCUUACCCCUUAGGACUUGAAGGCGCCUCCGAGUCUCUCCUACCUAGUCUGAGUUCAAACGAGGUGUAUAGGUGGAAAGCAGCAGGAAGGCUCCAAGUCAAACAUAGAAAUGGAUGAGCCAGACCCACUGCAGACCUGUCCUACACCUGCCUCAGUGGUGUAGGUGCUACAGCCCUCCAUCAAGGGUUGUGCCAGCCAGAACCAGAGGAGCUCAAAAGCUGAUGUUCAAGGAAAGGAGACAGUCCCAGGGUCAGUUUGGGGCAGGGAUGCAAGGACAGACCAUAGUGGGGAACCAAGGCAGCCAUAGGACAGUGCCGGAGGCUGCACAGCCAUGUUCCCAGCACUUGAUGCAUUAGCCAUUUUAAACAGGGGCCACCUUCCUCCACCAGGCUGGUUACUCAUGAAAUAGUUCCUGCCUAAAACCAAUGCCACCACUUCUUUGGCCUGAAGUAGUUAAGAGUUUAUUAUCGGGGGGGGGGGGGCGCCUGGGGGGUUUAGUUGGUUAGGCAUCCAACUUUGGCUCAGGUCAUGAUCUCACAGUUGGUGAGUUCGAGUCCCAUCGGGCUCUGUUGACAGCUGGGAGCCUGGGGCCUGCUUCAGAUUCUGUGUCUCCCUCUCUCUCUCUCUGCCCUUCCCCCGCCUGCACUCUGUCUCCAUAUCAAAAGUAAAUAAACGUUAAAAAAUUAAAAAAAAAGUUUACUACCAGUACCCCUUCCUUAUGGACAUCCAUCAGAAGGGAGGUAAGCCCAGGAGGUAGCCUGAGAGGAAAGGUGACCCUGGAACAGAGAUGGGGCCACUUGAAGGCCCAAGGAGGAAAGAGGAAGGAAAUGGGAAAGGUGUGUUACGUCAUAUUAAAUAUUUAUUGUUUUCUGCAAACUGACCUUGGAGUAACACUCAAGCCAGGAGGGGAUUGGUUAGUGUUCAAGUUGCUGAGAUCUUAGGUCAAAAAGCCAUAGAAAAGGGGCACCUGGGUGGCUCAGUCAUGUUCUCUUGGUUCGUGAGUUCAAGCCCUGCAUCGGGUUGCUGCUGUCAGUGCACAGCCCGCUUGGAUCCUCUGUCCCCCCCACCUCUGCCCCUCCCACCUUACACUCUCUCAAAAAUAAAUAUUAAAAGAAAAAAAAAGCUACAAAAAACAAAACACUGGGGGUGGGGCCAGGGGAGAGGAAUCAAUGACUUGGAGGCAGUUUCACCUUGCCACCAAUUCCAAGAGCUGGGGCUUUUGUGACUCAGGACAUGGUGACAAGAGUUGAGUAAACCAGAGACCAAGGCAGUGAAGGUUUUACUGGGGAAAGAAAACUUGGGUGUAUGUGUGUGGGGGAAGGAUGGUGAAUGAAAUAGGGAAAAUGAUAAAGGUGUUUUGGAAGGCUAGGGGGAAGUGGUCCUGGGAACCUGAAAACAAGGAAAUUCAGCUUAUCCUGAUAAGGCAGGGUCCGGGGAAUGAAGGCAGGGUGAGGCAUGUCAAGGACCUGGGAGGCAGAGGGAGAACUGGAAAGGAAACCCCAGGUGAAGAAGAGUCUGGGAUAGGGUACAGAAGUCCAUGGAGAAGGCCAGUGGAUCCCAGGGUCCGAGACAUCAGAAGUUGGGCUUGUGCUUCUUGAGCUCCACCAUUAGAUGAUGAAUGUUGAUGAGCUCAGCCCUGGCAGGGAGAGCUCGGAGCUGGGGCUGAGAGAGCACACGGUGGAACCGAUGAUAGAGCUGGAUCAGCUGGGUCAAAGCUCCCUGGUCAGAGAAAGUCAUGGAAGGAUCAUGUGGGGUGGUGCUAAAGAUGAUGUUAGGAAUCAGGCUAGGGCUCAUCCAGAAUUCUGGGCAUGCUGGUAGUUGAUGAUCAAGGGUCACUUGGAUGAUGCGAGCCCAGGGAAAAGAGAGGGAAAACAACUAGUGACAGGGUGGGGCAAAGUGAGGGCUGGGAGUUGUAAGUCACCUGGAUGAUACUGGUCCCAUUUCUGAAGUUGGUGAAACUCCGCAUUACAUCCUGACUCAGAGACUCCACUGAUGAUUUCCAGGAACUACCAAAGCCACGGAUCAGCUGAGUAACCCGGGCUGAUGGCAGGAGGAAAGAGAGAGGGUGUCAGAGAAGGACUUGGCUAGGGUGAUCUUUGUCCGAAAGUCCUCCCCCAGGCACAGCCUUCCUAUCCAACCCCAUUUUCCUACUCUACCCUCCUCAUGGGACCUGCACCCUCUCGUUUUUCUUUUCCACUCACCUUACCACUGAACCCACCACUACCACAUCAUCCUCAUACCUUCUUCCCCUCGAAGCCGCUCAGCCUGUCCACGCUCAAUCAAAGCCUCCGCUUCCUUCACAAAUGCCACCAGACCUCCA
rnacentral:lncRNA from 1 species